AUCUGGGGAGAGAACAAAGGACUCCAUACGCUUAACUGACCAGAGGUCUGGGACUGAGCUGUCUGCUGAGUUGGGACAGGCAGGCCCAGGGUGGUCAGCCUACCCUCAAGGAGCUUGUCUUGAUUAAGAAAAUGACUGAGGUGAACAGAUGGGAGCGCAAGACCACUGGGGGUUAAGAGAGCGGGGCUGGUCUAAUUGGGGAAGGCAGCUUGGAAUGAGGCUCCAGAGAGGCCUGGAGGAGCAUCCAGGGGAGCGUGGCAAACACUGGGGACACAUCUGAUCCUGACCCAGACACAGAUGUGAGAGUAUGUCUGUCAACUUGGGGGCCUUUCCCUCUGACUUUCUGGAUCCUCUGCCACCUUAUCAAAAGCACCCGUCACCU
rnacentral:lncRNA from 1 species